UGAUACGGAUCGUGAGUAUAAACAAAAACUAAGCAUGUAGCGCUUGGGGUUCAACGUUUUACGGACAUGGGUUCGACUCCCAUCGCCUCCACCA
rnacentral:tmRNA from 1 species